UACGUAGGGUGCAAGCGUUAUCCGGAAUUAUUGGGCGUAAAGAGCUCGUAGGCGGUUUGUCGCGUCUGCUGUGAAAACUGGGGGCUCAACCCCCAGCCUGCAGUGGGUACGGGCAGACUAGAGUGCGGUAGGGGAGAUUGGAAUUCCUGGUGUAGCGGUGGAAUGCGCAGAUAUCAGGAGGAACACCGAUGGCGAAGGCAGAUCCCUGGGCCGUAACUGACGCUGAGGAGCGAAAGCAUGGGGAGCGAACAGG
rnacentral:rRNA from 1 species